GCUAUGGGGGUCCGACUAAGCCAUGCGAGUCAUGGGGCGCGCUCUGCGCGCACCGGCGGACGGCUCAGUAACACGUCGGUAACCUACCCUCGGGUGGGGGAUAACCUCGGGAAACUGAGGCUAAUCCCCCAUAGGGGAGGAGGUCUGGAAUGAUCCCUCCCCGAAAGGCGUUAUGCCGCCCAAGGAUGGGGCUGCGGCGGAUUAGGUAGUUGGUGGGGUAACGGCCCACCAAGCCUACGAUCCGUACGGGCCCUGAGAGGGGGAGCCCGGAGAUGGACACUGAGACACGGGUCCAGGCCCUACGGGGCGCAGCAGGCGCGAAACCUCCGCAAUGCGCGAAACCGCGACGGGGGGACCCCCAGUGCCGUGGCAACGCCACGGCUUUUCCGGAGUGUAAAAAGCUCCGGGAAUAAGGGCUGGGCAAGGCCGGCGGCAGCCGCCGCGGUAAUACCGGCGGCCCGAGUGGUGGCCGCUAUUAUUGGGCCUAAAGCGUCCGUAGCCGGGCCCGUAAGUCCCUGGCGAAAUCCCACGGCUCAACCGUGGGGCUUGCUGGGGAUACUGCGGGCCUUGGGACCGGGAGAGGCGGGGGGUACCCCUGGGGUAGGGGUGAAAUCCUAUAAUCCCAGGGGGACCGCCAGUGGCGAAGGCGCCCCGCUGGAACGGGUCCGACGGUGAGGGACGAAGGCCAGGGGAGCGAACCGGAUUAGAUACCCGGGUAGUCCUGGCUGUAAAGGAUGCGGGCUAGGUGUUGGGCGAGCUCCGAGCUCGCCCGGUGCCGUAGGGAAGCCGUUAAGCCCGCCGCCUGGGGAGUACGGCCGCAAGGCUGAAACUUAAAGGAAUUGGCGGGGGAGCACUACAGGGGGUGGAGCGUGCGGUUU
rnacentral:rRNA from 1 species